GCCCCACCCGCCAUCGGCCAAAAUUAUUUUAGCGUGCGAGUGGACUAGCCUGCAUUUGGGAGCCUACUACUCUGAGUUGGAGAGCCAACGGAAGGAACUUAGACAAGGUGUGUCCACCUCUGCGCCCGAGGGACAGGGGGCGUCCGUCGCGAGGGGACAGGAAAAGGGAGUAUCCAUCAGCCAGUAAGAGCUCCUGGAGAUUGCAGUCAGUUUCCUGAUAGUGUCCAUUUCGGUCGACACAGAGGAACCGCGAUGACGCCAGGCCCUUGAUGACGGCAUGCCCUGCCUUUAUGGACCGCAGCUCCAGAGAAGCUAUAG